GAUAACUUUGUAGACGUCAGGAAAGUAGUGAUCUUGGAUUUUAUUUCUACCUUGGUGGUGUUUACGAAGAUAGACAAGAUCGCCUACUUUAAACCUGUUGGGAUUCGUUCUACGGUCAAAAUGUUUCUUGCUCUUCCCUAACUCAUGUUGUGUUCUUCUUUGUGCCAGGUGAUAUGCCUCCUUAAACCGGGAUUAAUGUAGAGCAACCCAGUCAUUGGUGAUGUCUUCAGGCAACGACUGGCAAAGGCCACCACCUUCUCCUCUCCUCCCUGAACUUGAGACAAGACAGCCCCUAAGCCGGAAAGACUCGCAUCUACAUCCAGUAUGAAAGAAAACAGUGUCAAGAUAUCGCAAGUGCUCAUCGAAGGUCUUGGAGAAGAUGCACACAUCGUCAAGGUAAACAAAAAUGAGUUGAUAUAUGAGAUCACCCAUGCAUCUCUGCAUCAACCUUUGAAAUGUUGCAGGUGCACCACAAAGACCAAAAGGCAUCCGGGUGUAUUCAUAC